GAAAUGCGAUAUGCAAUGCGAAUUGCAGAAUUCCGCGAGUCAUCAGAUCUUUGAACGCAGCCCGCGCUGAAGGGAUAUCCUUUCAGCAUGUUUGUUUCAGUGUGUUUAGAUUGAUAUCCUAUACCUUAAUGUGAUUGAAAUAUGUCUCAUAACAUAUUUCUCUCAUUAAACAAGGAUACAUGAGAUCAUAUACUGAUCUAACGAAGUGGUCACUUUUUUAUAAGUGAUUUCGUUAGGUUUAUAAACAGUAUGGAUCACAUAAUAAUUUCUCUUAGAUAUUAUUAUAGCAUGUAUUAUAUAUUAUAUCAAUCUCUUCAAUCUCGGCACCUGAAAUCAAGCAAGAACACCCGCUGAACUUAA
rnacentral:misc_RNA from 1 species